AUUGAACGCUGGCGGCAGGCCUAACACAUGCAAGUCGAACGAGUGGCGGACGGGUGAGUAAUGUCAGGGCACCUGCCCGAUGGAGGGGGAUAACUACUGGAAACGGUAGCUAAGACCGCAUACCCUCGGAUGUGCCCAGAUGGGAUUAGCUUGUAGGUUAGGUAACGGCUAACCAGGGCGACGAUCCCUAGCUGGUCUGAGAGGAUGACCAGCCACACUGGAACUGAGACACGGUCCAGACUCCUACGGGAGGCAGCAGUGGGGAAUAUUGGACAAUGGGCGCAAGCCUGAUGCAGCCAUGCCGCGUGUAUGAAGAAGGCCUGCGGGUUGUAAAGUACGUUCAGCGGGGAGGCGUUACCCGCAGAAGAAGCACCGGCUAACUCCGUGCCAGCCGCCGCGGUAAUAC
rnacentral:rRNA from 1 species